GAGGAACGCUGGCGGCGUGCCUAAUACAUGCAAGUCGAGCGAACAGACGAGGAGCUUGCUCCUCUGACGUUAGCGGCGGACGGGUGAGUAACACGUGGAUAACCUACCUAUAAGACUGGGAUAACUUCGGGAAACCGGAGCUAAUACCGGAUAAUAUAUUGAACCGCAUGGUUCAAUAGUGAAAGACGGUUGGGCGGCCACUUAGAGAUGGAUCCGCGCCGCAUUAGCUAGGGCGUAAGGGAACGGCUUACCAAGGCAACGAGGCGUAGCCGACCUGAGAGCGUGGUCGGCCACACUGGAACUGACGCACGGUCCAGACUCCUACAGGAGGCAGCAAAAGGACAACCUCCGCCAUGGGCUCCAGGCUGACGGCAUAGCGACAAGAAAGAUAUGAAAGUCUUGGGAACGUAUAACACUAUUGAUGCGGACACAACAGAGUGUCCGCACGACGGCGCUUCUUGGCGUUGCCGGGUCAGAAAGCCCCGGCUCCCUACGUG
rnacentral:rRNA from 1 species